GGGAACUGAAACAUCUAAGUACCCGGAGGAAAGGAAAUCAAUAUGAUACUCCCCUAGUAGCGGCGAGCGAACGGGGACCAGCCGAGCCAUGAGUGUGACUGGAAUGUGUUGGAAAGCACAGCCAAAGUGGGUGACAGCCCCGUACAGGAAGCACGAUUGGACGUAUUAAGUAGGGCGGGACACGUGAAAUCCUGUCUGAAGAUCGGAGGACCACCUUCGAAGGCUAAGUACUCCUUACUGACCGAUAGCGAACCAGUACCGUGAGGGAAAGGUGAAAAGCACCCCGACGAGGGGAGUGAAACAGUUCCUGAAACCGGAUGCCUACAAACAGUUGGAGGGCGCAAGCCUGACAGCGUACCUUUUGUAUAAUGGGUCAGCGACUUAAUUUAACGAGCAAGCUUAAGCCGGUAGGUGUAGGCGUAGCGAAAGCGAGUCUGAAUAGGGCGCCCUAGUUCGUUGGAUUAGACCCGAAACCGAGUGAUCUAGCCAUGGCCAGGUUGAAGGUGCGGUAACACGCACUGGAGGACCGAACCCACGCCUGUUGAAAAAGUCGGGGAUGAGCUGUGGCUAGGGGUGAAAGGCCAAUCAAACUCCGUGAUAGCUGGUUCUCCCCGAAAUGCAUUUAGGUGCAGCGUUGCGUGGUUCUUGUUGGAGGUAGAGCACUGGAUGGUCUAGGGGGCUUAU
rnacentral:rRNA from 1 species